rnacentral:rRNA from 1 species
UACGAAGGGAGCUAGCGUUGUUCGGAAUUACUGGGCGUAAAGGGCGUGUAGGCGGUACCAUAAGUCAGAUGUGAAAGCCCUAGGCUUAACCUAGGAGGUGCAUUUGAUACUGUGGAACUAGAGAUCGAGAGAGGAAAGUGGAAUUACGAGCGUAGAGGUGAAAUUCGUAGAUAUUCGUAAGAACACCAGUGGCGAAGGCGACUUUCUGGCUCGAUACUGACGCUAAGGCGCGAAAGCGUGGGGAGCAAACAGG